rnacentral:rRNA from 1 species
AUAUCAGUCAUGCAUAGCAUAUCAAUAAGCGGAGGAAAAGAGACUAACAAGGAUUCCCUUAGUAACGGCGAGUGAAGCGGGAAGAGCUCAAAUUUGAAAUCUUCAAGGUUUUACCUUGACGAAUUGUAGUUUAAAGAAGUGUUUUCUGUUGAAGUUUUGGUAAAAGUUCUUUGGAAUAGGACAUCAUAGAGGGUGAGAAUCCCGUAUUUGACCAUUACUUUCAGCUUUGUGAUACACUUUCAAAGAGUCGGAUUGUUUGGGAAUGCAGUCCAAAAUGGGUGGUAAAUUUCAUCUAAAGCUAAAUAUUGGCGAGAGACCGAUAGCGAACAAGUACCGUGAGGGAAAGAUGAAAAGAACUUUGAAAAGAGAGUUAAACAGUACGUGAAAUUGUCAAAAGGGAAGCGUUUGACACCAGUGUUGUUUUCUCGAAAAUCAAUUAAAAAGAGUUGGAUUUUGUGUUGUAUUGACUUUAUCGGCUUUCUUCACUCUUUUCCAGCUUUUUUUAAUGCACUUUUCGUUUAACAAGUCAACAUCAGUUUCUUUUGUUGUAAAAAGGUCAUUGGAAGGUGGCUUUCUCUUCGGAGAAAGUGUUUUAUAGCCUUUGACUCAUGCAAUCGGAGAGACUGAGGUCUGCAGCGUAGAUCCUUCGGGGUUAGAUACAUUUGUGCUAAGUUAUAGCUUUUCAUAGACAACCUGUUGACUAUGUUUAGUCUUGUAGCUUACUCGCUUAUGCUAUUUUACCUACGCUUAGGAUGUUGAACUCUAUCACACACAG